ACCAGGUUGAUUCUGCCUGGUAUGUGUGCUAGCGUCAAAGAUUUAGCCAUGCAUGCUUUUCGAACCCUCGUGGGGAGAGGCGGAUAGCUCAGUAAUACAGUUACAACAUAAGCUGCGUGUGUGGAUAACCUUGUUAAGAUAAGGCUAAGACUUAGGGUGUCGCACUUUUGUGAAGAAACGCGACUUGUGCAGCAUUGGUUUCUGACCUAUCAGUUAGUAUGUUCUGUAAGGGAGAACAUAGACUAUGACGGGUAACGGGGGAUGCACGUCUGAUACCGGAGAGGAAGCCUUAGAGACAGCUUUCACGUCCAAGGAUGGCAGCAGGCGCGAAACUUACCCAAUUGUUUUUUGAGACAGAGGUAGUUAUGACGUAUUCUUUAGAGAGAGACCUUGUUAGACAUGGUCCAUAGCGACUGGAGGGCAAGUCUGGUGCCAGCAGCCGCGGUAAUUCCAGCUCCAGUAGUGCAUAUACAUGCUGUAGUUAGAAAGUUUGUAGCCUAUUUAUGGAUUGUUUUAGACAAAAGGACGACUCAAAUUGACCUUUCAUUUGACUAAUGCAUGAAUGUAGAAGCGAUUGAAGGCGAUUGUAUUCACCAGCCAGAGGUAAAAUUUGAUGACCUGGUGAGGACACACGGAGGCGAAAGCGAUUGCCUAGAGCGUAUUCAGUGGUCAAGAACGUAAGCCGGAGGAUCAAAGAUGAUUAGAUACCGUUGUAGUUCCGGCCGUAAAUUAUGCCAACUUGUGCUUCUGCUUCUGCGGAGGCGCAUAGAGAAAUCAAGAGUUUAUGGGCUCUAGGGAUAGUAAUCCGGCAACGGACAAACUUAAAGAAAUUGGCGGAAGGACACCACAAGGAGUGGAUUAUGCGGCUUAAUUUGACUCAACGCGGGACAACUCACCAGAGCCUAUGUGCAGGAGACAGUGAGCUUUGAGAGCGGACUGGAUAGUACUUUGAGUGGUGCAUGGCC
rnacentral:rRNA from 1 species